GGGAAUAUUGCACAAUGGGGGAAACCCUGAUGCAGCGACGCCGCGUGAGUGAAGAAGCGCCUCGGCGCGUAAAGCUCUGUCAGCAGGAACGAUAAUGACGGUACCUGAAGAAGAAGCCCCGGCUAACUACGUGCCAGCAGCCGCGGUAAUACGUAGGGGGCAAGCGUUAUCCGGAUUUACUGGGUGUAAAGGGAGCGUAGACGGCGGGGCAAGUCUGGAGUGAAAUGCCGGGGCUUAACCCCGGAACUGCUUUGGAAACUGUGCAGCUAGAGUGCAGGAGAGGUAAGUGGAAUUCCUAGUGUAGCGGUGAAAUGCGUAGAUAUUAGGAGGAACACCAGUGGCGAAGGCGGCUUACUGGACUGUAACUGACGUUGAGGCUCGAAAGCGUGGGGAGCAAACAG
rnacentral:rRNA from 1 species